AGGGUAGAGAUCCCCUGGUUCAAUCCCCAGUGCCACCUCCCCCACUGCACACACUCCCUGUCUCUUGUCAUUUCAUACCCCAUGCAGCAUGGAGACUCUGCCAGCAAAAGGCCAUCACCAACAUGUGGCCCUUCCACCUUGGACAUCUGGUCCUGUGAGCCAAAUUAAACCUCUUUUCUGAGGACAUGGAGGUGGACACCUGUAAUCCCAGCCGGAUGUGGCUCACUGGUAAAGCACCUCCAAGAUCAAUUCCUGGUACAAAAACAAACCCUCUUUUCUUUAUUGCUUCCCAGUCUAUGGUAUUGUAUGAAGAGCAACAGAAACGGAACUAGUGCCUCUGCACCAGGAUGAGGAGUGUGUUCUCCAGAUCACAUUUUUACAGCUAUAUGGUUUUCCAGCUCAGGAGUAGACUGUGAGUCACAGAGGCACGUCUGGGGGCGGGGGGGUGCAGCAAGUCAUGCUGUCAGUGCUGUUCCACACAUGCCUGAGAGACUUCUAGCAAGAUGUAAGGGGGGCCCUGUACCGCUGUGCAGGCCUGUAAUCCCAGCAGCUCAGGAGGCUGAGGCCGGAGGAUCACAAGUUCAAAGCCAGCCUCAGCAAUUUAGCAAAGUCCUAAGCAACUUAGUGAGACCCUGUUUCAAGACAAAAUAUAAAAAGGGCUGGGAAUGUGGGUUGGUGGUUAAGUGCCCCUGGGCUCAAUCCCUGGUAUCAAAAAAAAAAGGGUGAACGCGACAAAUCCUUCCCGAACUCCCCCACCCCAAAGCCUGAGCCUCUGCACCCCUUCCCAGAGGCCUCUUCUGCUGCCAGAAGUGUCCUAGGGAGCUGGCCACUCAAAGGGCCUUGGAGUCCUUGAGUGGACAGGGCCUUGUGAAGAGCCUUCCAGGAAUCGGGAGCAACGCUGGGUCUCCCCACGUGCCCCGCUCUGUGCUGGGAGAGCAGGUGAGCAGGGCUCAGCGCUGAUGGAGGGGACAGGACGAAGACCCUCACCCAGUGUCUCCCACUCCUGCUGGGGGAAGCUGCUUCCUCUGAGGGGCUGGGGGCUGCCCCUGCCCGCUGGCCUCUCC
rnacentral:lncRNA from 1 species